UAAUGCUUUGCUCUGGAGGUACAUUUCCAGUUCAAGCUGCCCAACUGGUGAGAGCCCUUACAGAAAUCAUGGUGAUCAUAUAGCUUGUAUGUUCUGCUAUGCACCCAAACAUGUAUUUUGUAUCUUUAGCCUUGGACAUUUUAUAACUUGUCUGAUCUAGCAAUUGACUCCACUUAACAUCUGGAAGGUUUACAUAGUCAUUGAUCUCAAUAAGUUGUGAGGGGUUACCUGUGCACUUAACAGAAAAUAA